UACGUAGGGUGCAAGCGUUGUCCGGAAUUAUUGGGCGUAAAGAGCUCGUAGGCGGUUUGUCGCGUCUGCUGUGAAAACUCGGGGCUUAACCCCGGGCCUGCAGUGGGUACGGGCAGACUAGAGUGCGGUAGGGGAGACUGGAAUCCUGGUGUAGCGGUGAAAUGCGCAGAUAUCAGGAGGAACACCGGUGGCGAAGGCGGGUCUCUGGGCAGUAACUGACGCUGAGGAGCGAAAGCGUGGGGAGCGAACAGG
rnacentral:rRNA from 1 species